UGUGGGGACCCUUGAUGGAGUAGUGCACUUCCUCUCACAAGUCCGUUUCAAAAACAGGUCCCCAUCGCCCGCAAAGUCCGUUCCGUGGCUGCACUGUCCUUGGCUCCUGUUUUGUGGUUCCAAAGAAAUAAUAGGUCGUCUGCUGCUGUUGCAAAGAAAUAUGUCGUUUAACUGCCUCGUUUUAAGGGCCCACAGAAGACUUGAUUUCUUGACUUUCCUUAUGUUGGAACCAUGUGACUGAGUUUGGUAGACAUGGGCAGGAGUAAGCCACUUCCAGGCCUACCUGAAAAAUAUUACUUCCCCUUUCCAAAGUGACUGGGAGGCCAGAUGUUCCAGAUGAAGGUGGAGAAGGGCUGAUCUAUUGCCAAAGGACUUUGUGCAAGCAAAAAAUAAACUUUGGUUGUGCUCAGUCA